UUUCUGAGCUUGUUAGGCAGUGAUGACAAU
rnacentral:piRNA from 1 species